UCAUCAAAAACUUCUAACCCACUUUGGACAAAAGUGUCUGCUAAAUGAAUUUAA
rnacentral:sRNA from 14 species